rnacentral:rRNA from 1 species
UACGAAGGGGGCUAGCGUUGUUCGGAUUUACUGGGCGUAAAGCGCACGUAGGCGGAUCGUUAAGUCAGGGGUGAAAUCCUGGAGCUCAACUCCAGAACUGCCUUUGAUACUGGGGGAUCUCGAGUCCGGAAGAGGUGAGUGGAACUCCGAGUGUAGAGGUGAAAUUCGUAGAUAUUCGGAAGAACACCAGUGGCGAAGGCGGCUCACUGGUCCGGUACUGACGCUGAGGUGCGAAAGCGUGGGGAGCAAACAGG